AUUGAACGCUGGCGGCAGGCCUAACACAUGCAAGUCGAACGAGCGGCGGACGGGUGAGUAAUGUAUGGGGAACUGCCCGAUGGAGGGGGAUAACUACUGGAAACGGUGGCUAAUACCGCAUACUAUCGGAUGAACCCAUAUGGGAUUAGCUAGUAGGUGGGGUAAAGGCUCACCUAGGCGACGAUCUCUAGCUGGUCUGAGAGGAUGAACAGCCACCCUGUGACUGAGACACGGCCCAGACUCCUACGGGAGGCAGCAGUGGGGAAUAUUGCCCAAUGGGCGCAAGCCUGCUGCAGCCCUGCCGCGUGUAUGAAGAAGGCCUUCGGGUUGUAAAGUACUUUCAGCGGGGAGGCGUUACCCGCAGAAGAAGCACCGGCUAACUCCGUGCCAGCAGCCGCGGUAAUAC
rnacentral:rRNA from 1 species